rnacentral:rRNA from 1 species
UACGUAGGGGGCUAGCGUUGUCCGGAAUCAUUGGGCGUAAAGAGCGUGUAGGCGGCUCGGUAAGUCCGCUGUGAAAGUCGGGGGCUCAACCCUCGAAUGCCGGUGGAUACUGGCGAGCUAGAGUGUGUCAGAGGAUGGUGGAAUUCCCGGUGUAGCGGUGAAAUGCGUAGAGAUCGGGAGGAACAUCAGUGGCGAAGGCGGCCAUCUGGGACAACACUGACGCUGAGGCACGAAAGCGUGGGGAGCAAACAGG